AGAUCUGGCAGAGCUUCCUGUCUCCCACUGUGGUCCCCGCAGGGUCUCUGUUCUGCCCUCAGCUGGUUCUUCUCACCUGAAGGCACCCUCUACUGAGGGCUCAGUACCCUCAGGCACUCUGCUGAGGACUCUGCAGGAACAGCCUCAUUAAAUCCCACAAGCACCAGGUCUUUUUUGGAUCCCAUGUGUCAAGCAUAGAGCUAGCCUGAAAGGCAUGGGCAAACAUCUUCCCAGACUCUCUCAGAUGGCGUGGUAACCCUCUGAGACUUCUGUGACUGCAUCUGUGCUUCCGUCUGUCUGUCUGUGAAUUCUGCCAGAGCACAGGGAAGACUAAAAUGUUGGUCUUUCAAUGGGCAUCUGUGGGCAGAGCCACUGGGAAGGUUGUGAGCUUAUGAAAGGAUGACAUUACAAUAUAGACACAGGAAGGAAGGCCAAGAUUCGGAGAGAAUCAGAGACCUGUAGUACACCAACUUAGCAAGCAAGAAUGGCGGCAACAAUGGUCCUCAGGCCUGUCUGGCCACUCACCAGCGGCUCCAAGUCCGGCAGACUCUCAUGCAGACACACAGCUCACGGGGUCCAAGGUGCUGGAAGACACGAAGCCAGGCAGCCC